ensembl:lncRNA
AUUUCAAAGUGGACAUUGUUCUUGGAGGUCCUUGCCCUCAGUCCAUGCAUCACAGGUAACGUUGACACCAUGGCUGCUACCAAGUGGUUACUGCUCCUCUUCUCAGUAGCCCUGUUGGGCCUGAGCUCUGCUCAAUUCACUGAUGAGGAGGAUGAACAAAAUUCAGAAGAUUCAGUAGAUGUAGAACCAUUAGGCUCCCAGCAGGAUGAUCAGAACCCUGGCCAGCAACAAGGUGGUAACCAGAAACUUGGACCUCCAGGUGGCCACCAAGGAGAUCCUCCAGGUGGACAGCAAGGGGGUCAGCAGGGUGGUCAGCAAGGAGGCCAUCCAGGUGGCCCUCAAGGAGGUCAGCAAGGUGGCCAGCAAGGAGGCCAUCCAAGUGGCCAACAGGGAGGCCGUCCAGGUGGCCAUGCAUAAAAAGGAAGAUGGGCAUUCAGGAGGUACCCUUGAAGUCCUCAUGUGGACCCGGAUAUUGGGACAACUGUGGUAUCAAGACAUACCUCUUAUCUACUGCAUCAUUUCUGUACAAUACCAAAAAAUACACUAGUAGUUAAACAUUGA